rnacentral:tRNA from 1 species
GGUGGCUCAGUGGUAGAGUGCUUGCCUCACAUGCAUAAGGCUCUGGGUUCGAUUCCUUGGCACCA